GACGAACGCUGGCGGCGUGCCUAAUACAUGCAAGUCGAACGCAGUGGGGACGGGUGAGUAACACGUGGGUAACCUCCCAUCAGAGGGGAUAACACUUGGAAACAGGUGCUAAACCGAUACUGAUGGAUGGACCCGCGGUGCAUUAGCUAGUUGGUGAAGUAACGGCUCACCAAGGCCACGAUGCAUAGGCGAGCUGAGAGGGGUAACGGCCAAACUUGGACUUAGACACGGCCCAAACUCCUACGGGAGGCAGCAGUAGGGAAACUUCCGCAAUGGACGAAAAGCUGAACGUGCAACGGCGCGGGAGUUAAGAAGGUUUUCGGAUCGUAAAACCUCGGUUGUAGGGAAGCGGUAUCUAACCAGAAAGCCACGGCUAACUACGUGCCAGCAGCCGCGGUAAUUC
rnacentral:rRNA from 1 species